rnacentral:rRNA from 2 species
GCAAUACUCUUGAAAGUGGCGCACGGGUGAGUAACACGUAGGUAACCUGCCCUGGAGCGGGGGAUAACAGUUGGAAACGGCUGCUAAUACCGCAUGAGACUGGGAGGCCGGGAGGUCUUCUGGUGAAAAUCUUGGUGCUUCAGGAGGGGCCUGCGGCCGAUUAGCUAGUUGGUGGGGUAAAGGCCUACCAAGGCGACGAUCGGUAGCUGGUCUGAGAGGACGAUCAGCCACACGGGAACUGAGACACGGUCCCGACUCCUACGGGGGGCAGCAGUGAGGAAUAUUGGGCAAUGGGCGAAAGCCUGACCCAGCAACGCCGCGUGGAGGAAGACGGCCUUCGGGUUGUAAACUCCUUUUACGGGGGAAGAGGAAGGACGGUACCCCGAGAAUAAGUCACGGCUAACUACGUGCCAGCAGCCGCGGUAAUACGUAGGUGACAAGCGUUAUCCGGAAUUACUGGGCGUAAAGCGCACGCAGGCGGCGCAUUAAGUCUGACGUGAAAUCUCUCGGCUUAACCGGGAGGGGUCGUUGGAGACUGAUGUGCUUGAGGCGAUGAGAGGGGUGUAGAAUUCCCGGUGUAGUGGUGGAAUGCGUAGAUAUCGGGAGGAAUACCAGUGGCGAAAGCGGCACCCUGGCAUUGGCCUGACGCUCAUGUGCGAAGGCGUGGGGAGCGAACGGGAUUAGAUACCCCGGUAGUCCACGCGGUAAACGAUGAGUACUAGGUGUGGGUGGAGUGAAAUCCAUCUGUGCCGAAGCAAACGCGCUAAGUACUCCGCCUGGGGAGUACGGCCGCAAGGCUAAAACUCAAAGGAAUUGACGGGGGCCCGCACAAGCAGCGGAGCGUGUGGUUUAAUUCGAUGCACACGAAGAACCUUACCUGGGUUUGACAUCUGCGUAGUAGUGAACCGAAAGGGGAACGACUCUUC